AGUGGUGAUUGUCCAUCAAUGUCGCGUCCGCAAGUACCUGAAAUAUAUAUUAAAUACAUACAAGUAUUUCAUAUUGGUAUUUCAGAAACAUUUCGUGCAACACUAAGAUAUUGAACAAACACAGGAAAUGAAUGUUUGUUAAGAACAUCUUAGAUCAUUACAAAAUCUGCUGUCGAUGGAAUAAAAUCCAUCGUCCAUUCAAUUAAAUUUUCUACGGGAUGUAAGGGCAAAUACACUUUAAAAAUAUCGAGGUUUAUCGAGGAGACUAUAUUUUCUAUCGUAAUCAUAGACACAAAGGCUUAUUUAUUAAAGCUUGUUAUAGAUAACUCCUGCAUAGGACAAAGAUUUCUAUUAUUGGAUUACACCAUGGUAUACGAGAAACUAUAUUUCAGGUAAUAAUCAUGAUUUAUUAAUUUAAGUGACAUUUUAAUUAAUAUCACAAUUUCUUUUAUCAAAGAAAAUAACAAUAAUCAUAAUUAUGUAAAUUAUGUAAUUUCUUUUAAAGUUUUCUGACAAAUAAAAAUACAUAUUUUUACAAAUCUCUCUCUCUCUCUCUCUCUCUCUCUCUCUUUCUCUUUCUGCCACACAUACAAAAUGAAAAAUCUCAAUUGUGUACAAAAGUUCAGUUUGCAACUUGUUUUGUAAGAAAACUUAAAAGCUUAGUCAUGACUCGAUAAGCGAAGGAAAUAGUAAGUUGAGCUACUUAGUUUCACGUCACAUUCAGAACUCUUUUGAAAGCGGCAACUCCCACGAGUAAAGAAAAACAGAUCAAUAUACCAAUUCUUAAGCGGUUAUUCUACAAAUACUCGAACACGAAAUGCAUAGGAUUUCAUUUCCUGUUUUAAUUACUACGGAGGAGUAUCGUGCAAACACGAAUGCGAUUUAUUUCAUUAAAUAAUCUACAUGUUCACAUAAGUAGAUGCAUAUUGUGACAACCGGAUAUAUGGUAAAUCGGAUAUACCGGAUAUAUAAAUGCGCUUUUCAAAUUACGUUCUUAAAAUUAAAUAAAUAUGUUCAUAACAAUUUUAAUAUUUUAUAUUUAUUUUCCAUUUAAAACUGAGAAUAAAAUAAUCGUGAAAAAGGAAUGUAAAUAUCACAAUAUGCUCUGAUGUGUACAAAAAAUAUUAGUUUUUUAUAUCUGAUUGUUUUUAAGAAAAUGUAUACCCAAGUAUUUUUAGAAGUUUUCGAUGUCACUGAAUAUAAAAAAGGAAUCAAAUGUAAAAAUUUAAAACGGUGAAUGUAAAAAAUAAAACAUUUUUUAAUUCUAAUGAAAUUUUUCUAAAAUAUGAAAUUUUCGCUGAAUAUAAAAAUAAUGUUAAAUCAUAAAAAAUUCAAACAUAAAGUAAAUGUAAGUAAUAAAUAAAAUGUAAAUUCUAAUUAAAGUUUAAGGAGUUUGCAGGAUUACCAAAUGUAGAUUUAAUUUAUAAAAUAAAGUAAAAACAUGUGAUAAAAUCUGCGUUGAUAAGAAUUAUGCGGUAAGAUUCAAAAGUUUUUGGUCCAAUUUAUAUGCACGUUCGCAAAUACUAAGUAAAAGCAUUAUGUUCUAUUUUAUCUCUUUAUCAUUAAGAUACAACAAAUUCGCCUCCAAAUUAAUUUAUACGCCUCCUGAAAUUGAUUUGAAAAGUAAUUGUCACGCGAAGAUAAUCGCAUAAAAAUCUUCUAUCAUUAGUCUGAGAACUUUUUUGCAAAUAUUCCUGCAAAUAAUUUUUCGUAUUUCGCAAUAGUAUUUAUAAUAUAUUUUUUGACAAAAAGAGUAAGGGGCAAAAUUAAGAAGAUUGAUGCUAAAAAAUUGUUAUGAAACUUGAUACACAAGAGAUAAAAUACCUAACUCAAAAAAUGGUUAAAUGAGGAUCUUUUAAAAGGAAAACAAGUUCAUUCAGUGGACCUGACGCCAUGGGGAUGUGGCCUUUCAUCACGUAUACCAUCUCACUUCGACAAUAGAAUUGUUCGUGAAUAAUCUCACAAACAUUUUGUGAAACCUGAACCGGACUUAAAUCUCUUUUUACAUUGUAGUUUUUGUGCUUUUGCCACAUAGCCGUGACCGUAUAAGGGAUAGAGAACUAAUGACAAGAACUAAUCAUAUUAUAUUAUACUGAGCAUUCGCUGAUUCUUCAAUACAAUUGAUUUCUACCCUCAAUUCGUUAUCCCCUUCACGGUCGCGGCUAUGUGCAAAAAUUCGAAAAUUACAACUCUGACCUGAACUAUCUAAUAAUGAAUCGACGAUGAUUUUUUUAAGACUGACAUUUUCAAAAAGUUAUUUAAUCAAGGGAUGUACGACGUGGUCAAUAAUAAACCGGAUAUCUUUAACGAUGAUCAGAUGAUGCAAAUCGAAAAAGUUUCAGAUGAUACGAUGCAAUUAUAUAGCGAUACGGUGGACUGAUAUCGAUGCGGAUUAAAAGUAUUGGAAAUAAGAGAUUUCGAUCACAGUACAAAAUCAUCUAACGUUUGCUCAUAGGGGAUGUAAGUCAAACAGAAUAAGCAAAUUUUUUUUAAAGAAAAAAAAAA